GGGCAAUUAGCUCAAUGGUAGAGCGACUCGUUUACACCGAGUAGGCUGUAGGUUCGAUCCCUACAUUGCCCACCA
rnacentral:tRNA from 2 species